GAAAAUAUGAUUUCUAUGAUGGUUAAUGAUUUGAUAAAUAUAUUCUUUGUAUUAUUAUUUAGAUUGGGGAACUACUUCUUCCUGUGUAGUUUGUAUCCAUAGGGUUCACCGUAGUUAGGUUGGGCGGAGUGAUACGCCGCACACGAGGCUAGUUUCAAGUUUGUUACCGGCGACAAGGGUGCCACUUGUCUGUUUUCUUGAGCGGAGAAUAAAACAUAUACAAGUUGCUCUGAAGAAGCUGUCCCCGUGCUGUUCUUACCCACGACCCCAAAAAAAGACUUUAUUAAGGUGACGCUAACUUACACCCAGCGUUACAAUACCAUAAGUCCAAAAAUGCUGCUGCGUGUCUCGUUUGGCGGAGUGCAGAAGUACAUGAAGCUGCCUGAACUAACAUUCAGUGAUUUCUUGAGAGAAGUGAGUCUAAAAUUUAACAUUGCUGAAGACAGACGGUUGGACAUCAAGGUUUAUGACCAGUCUAGCACAGAGGUCGACUCUGAGGUUUUUGAGGAGAUCGUACAAGAGUUCCAUGGACCUUUCCUAAUUUCAUUGGCAAAUUAAGCACCUGGUUACCCUCAGUCCACGUCAUCUCCAUGCUCUAUUGCAUCUGAAGACACAGUGAUCCUCAACUUCUCGUUGUGUGACCCAGCUGAGGAGCCAGUUGCAGCCGAAGGAAGUCAACCUAAAAGGCCUUGCCGCACUAACUAUGAAGCAAAAGCUCUGAUUGAAAAAAUCUUGACGACAAAGCCUGGAGGUGACCGUGUCAUGGAGGAGUAUGCGAAAACGAAAUCAAUUACAGAUUCAACCAGAAGACGGCUCAUCAACAUACUUACUGCAGAGAUGACGGAAACACAUGGGACAUCGCCGCCCCGGAGUGUAAAAGUGAUGCAUGCACAGGGGAUUGUCGCUCUGUUUCCAUACCUUGAAGACCCAUAUUCACAGACUGGCUAUGAACAUUACUACGAUCCUGAAAGUGGUUCAGGCUACAUUGCAUGGCGGUUGAAGACAAUUCAACGAAAAGCUGCUGAGGAAAGAGGUCCUGCAGUUAGUACAUCUCCUAAAGUUGGUGGGCCAGGCCAUGGGCGGACUAGACCCUUUACUGCCGACAGAGUCCUGACUGACGAGGAAGUGGAAUGCGCUAUCGCUUUGUUGAGACACACUGCUGAUGAGGAGACCAUCCGUGAAAAGAUGAAAGUCACUUUCGCAUACCGCCACGCCAUGGUCAAUGAUGAGAACAAAUCAGCAGAGGUCUUCUCAGUAUUUCCACGGUUCCUAGACACACCAGGACUGAUAGAACAAGAUUUUAGAGUGAUGUUUGGUGAGCAGACUGCCAACAAGUUCAUGGAGAGGUGGCCUACCACUUUCAAAGCAGGAGUCAUUAAGGAAAGCCAUGGACUGGUCCCCUCCACAGACCUUCUUGAUUUAAUGCGCAACGCUGAGACAUCUACUGAAGUUGAAAAAGGCUGGGACAGUGACAUGUCUGCCAUCAUACUGCUGCUACAUCUGCUACCACCAUCUGCACAGGGACGAAAGAGGCCAGGGAAGAUAUCUGCAUCUAAUGCAGUUGAUCACCUCAUCAAAUUCAAAAAGACGGGAACAAGUGUGCAGCAGCAUCUUGACAACAUCCUCAAAGCAGUCAGCCCUACCUCCUUGCUCACGGACCCACAAAAAGCAGCAUUCACUCUUUCUUCAUUGCCAUCGACAAGCAUGCACUUCCAUGCCAAGCCACCAGCUCGGUUGGAGCCCUGGAUGAGCUCUUCAAGGCCCACUAUGUGUUUGGUACAUCUUAUAGUCCUGCCUUGAACAACUUUUUCACUUUUCUGCAAACUUCCAUUUACAACAUUGACGUGGGGAAAACUAAGGAAACGCCAAGAAUUGCAGAGUUGCGAGCGAGAAUGGUGCGUUAGGCACUCUUAAAAUUAAACAAUGAGGUGCUUUCUUUGCAGCAAUGUCUUUGGUGAAGCAAACAAUCUAGUAAAGCACCUCAAAGUGAUACAUGGACUCUGUACGGGAAGGACUCUUAUCUUCAAUGUGGCCAAGUGGGAUGCUCACGGUUUUUCAAUAGUUUUUCUGGUCUUAGGAAGCAUCUGAAUAAGUGUCAUGUGAAUAGUGCAUGUGAUGUUAUUGUUGAAACUGAACCACCACAUUGUCAAAGUGUUCUUGAUAGUACUAAUGCAAAUCCCGCAGAAGAGACAUAUGAGGCUGAGGUUGAGUCAGAGCCAGCAUUAUCGUCAGAACACCUUGUAAAUAGUUGUGCCUCUGUCAUUUCAGAUCUAAAGGCAGCAGGUGUAGCCCAGUCUGUUGUUAAUUCUUUUGUGACCAAUGGAGGAUAUUGUGCAGGAAAUUCAUGAGCAUGCAAAAGAGUCAGUCAUCCAGGGUGUAUUUCGUGAUCAAAGAGACACUGAAACAUGCAAGAAUGUGGAGGGAUGUUUUAACCAAUUAGAGAAUCCAUUCACAGCUCUAAAUUCAGAUUACAAACAAUCAAAAUUUAUUACCAGCAAGUGGGAAACUGUGGAGCUUGUAAUUGGCUCAAGAUUUGACUCGAGGCUCAACAAAAACAGGAACAUAUGACCAAGUAGUUGUUAGAGACAAAUUUAUGUAUUUUAUCGACAUUAAAAUCAAUAUUUAAAAGUGAACAUGCUAGAGAAAUGCUCAAAAGCCCAAAUAUUAGUGAUUCAAAACUCAGAGAUAUUUGUGAUGGCUCUUUCUUCAACACUCAUCCUCUAUUUUCAUCAGAGAGACACACUAUACAGAUCCAAAUGUUUUAUGACGACUU
ensembl:lncRNA